GAGGGUAUAGCUCAAGUGGUAGAGUGCAUGCUUAGCAUGCACGAGGUCCUGGGUUCAAUCCUCAUUACCUCCA
rnacentral:tRNA from 1 species